rnacentral:rRNA from 1 species
GACGGGGACCCGCACAAGCGGUGGAGCAUGUGGUUUAAUUCGAUGCAACGCGAAGAACCUUACCUGGUCUUGACAUACAGAGAACUUUCUAGAGAUAGAUUGGUGCCUUCGGGAACUCUGAUACAGGUGCUGCAUGGCUGUCGUCAGCUCGUGUCGUGAGAUGUUGGGUUAAGUCCCGUAACGAGCGCAACCCUUAUCCUUAUUUGCCAGCACUUCGGGUGGGAACUAUAAGGAGACUGCCGGUGAUAAACCGGAGGAAGGCGGGGACGACGUCAAGUCAUCAUGGCCCUUACGACCAGGGCUACACGCGUGCUACAAUGGGAAGGACAAAGGGUCGCUAAGCCGCGAGGUGGUGCUAAUCUCAUAAACCUUUUCGUAGUCCGGAUCGGAGUCUGCAACUCGACUCCGUGAAGUCGGAAUCGCUAGUAAUCGUGGAUCAGAACGCCACGGUGAAUACGUUCCCGGGUCUUGUACACACCGCCCGUCAUACCAUGGGAGUGGGUUGCACCAGAAGUGGGUAGUCUAACUUAGGAGGACGCUCACCACGGUGUGAUUCAUGACUGGGGUAAAGUCGUAACAAGGUA